AAAUUGAAGAGUUUGAUCAUGGCUCAGAUUGAACGCUGGCGGCAGGCCUAACACAUGCAAGUCGAACGGUAGCACAGAGAGCUUGCUCUCGGGUGACGAGUGGCGGACGGGUGAGUAAUGUCUGGGAAACUGCCCGAUGGAGGGGGAUAACUACUGGAAACGGUAGCUAAUACCGCAUAACGUCGCAAGACCAAAGUGGGGGACCUUCGGGCCUCACACCAUCGGAUGUGCCCAGAUGGGAUUAGCUAGUAGGUGGGGUAACGGCUCACCUAGGCGACGAUCCCUAGCUGGUCUGAGAGGAUGACCAGCCACACUGGAACUGAGACACGGUCCAGACUCCUACGGGAGGCAGCAGUGGGGAAUAUUGCACAAUGGGCGCAAGCCUGAUGCAGCCAUGCCGCGUGUAU
rnacentral:rRNA from 1 species